CCUACGGGAGGCAGCAGUCGAGAAUCAUUCACAAUGGGGGAAACCCUGAUGGUGCGACGCCGCGUGGGGGAAUGAAGGCCUCCGGUUGGUAAACCCCUGUCAUGUGGGAGCAAAUACAAAAGUUAGUACAAUAAGAGGAAGAGAUGGCUAACUCUGUGCCAGCAGCCGCGGCAAUACAGAGGUCUCAAGCGUUGUUCGGAAUCACUGGGCGUAAAGCGUGCGUAGGCUGUUUCGUAAGUCGUGUGUGAAAGGCGCGGGCUCAACCCGCGGACGGCACAUGAUACUGCGAGACUAGAGUAAUGGAGGGGGAACCGGAAUUCUCGGUGUAGCGGUGGAAUGCGUAGAUAUCGAGAGGAACACUCGUGGCGAAGGCGGGUUCCUGGACAUUAACUGACGCUGAGGCACGAAGGCCAGGGGAGCGAAAGGGAUUAGAUACCCUAGUAGUC
rnacentral:rRNA from 1 species